rnacentral:tRNA from 16 species
AUCACCUGUGCAGUGGAAGCGUGCUGGGCCCAUAACCCAGAGGUCGGUGGAUCGAAACCACUCGCUGCUA